GUAAAUCACAUUCUCUACAGUUCUGAUAAAGAUGCUGUUUUAAUUAAAAAUUUUUUUUCUAAGGCAUGGGUACUACACAGGCUUUGUAUUGAAGUUAAUUAUUAAUUUGCAAAGUCAACUGCCAGGCUCUCUUAGCUGGGUUUAUAUUUUACUUCCAAAUGGCAACUAUCCUUCCUGUAAAUGUCUCUCAUUAACUUAGCACAGAUGGCAUUUCUUUGGGUUUUGAUUUUUAUGCAAUAUAAUCAUGGAAUGACUAAAACUAAGAUAAUAUUUAUUUGAAUUAUUAAAAUGAAAACAGAAUGUGACACUCUCAUUGCAGACCUAUGUUAAAUAUCAAACUAAUCACUAUAUAGGAUUUGAUUUAGUUCUAGGAUUAUGGCACAUUUCAUUCAUGAAACUGUAUCAGAGGAGGAAAAAGAUCUAUCACAAGUCCAAUGAUAUUGGUGAAAUGAAAAAUACUACUAACAAGUAAAAUUAAAAGAGCAAUCUCAAGUCAAAAAUGUCCAGAAUGUCCGGAGAAAAAAUUUAAGGAUCCGUAUAUGCAUAUGGCACAGAGAACAUUUUGAAAACAGCUUAAAAAUGUCAGGUAUCAAUCACACAGUGUGUAGCUGGGCUAGGAGCACUGUCAAGAGGACACAGAAUUGGCCAAUUUGUAUGUGAAAAGGCUCAGCAGAAAAGGUGACAACCCCAGAUGGGGGGGAGGGCUGCUCAUCUUAUUGGCUGCUGCAGCGGAGUGGGAGGGGACGAAGAGAGGGAGACCCAAAUCAUCCCCGACAGCCACCGGCCAGCUUUGGUCAUCACGCAAUCGCAGACAGACAAAAAGAGUGUGUUAGGUCGAGGGAGAGCAAAGCCCCCGGGCGUUUGCGGUCCGCUCGUUAAGGGAACGGGGGUCGAGCGGUGCUGGAGAGAACAAAACUUAACUUCCCGUCGGGCUUUUCUGCCUUUGGGGAACUUCGCCAGCAUCUCCUUUCUUCCCCUCCCCCCCUCCCCCGCCCCGACUCGAGACGAGCCCGGAGUUUCUAGUUGGAAGCAACUUGAGAGAUGACGUCUCUUUCGUUUUAUACGGGAAGCGGGCUCCGACCCGGGAAGGGGAUCUGUCCCAGGCAAGCGCGAGGCCACAAGCACUUAGUUAGGCACCUUCCCUCCGACACCCACUGCCCCCCUCCCCCCCGCGGUCCCAGCUGUGACCCCAGCCGUUAGCAGCGUAGCCGGCGCGCGACAACGGCCGGGUUCCCCUCACGCCCGGGCGCUCCUGGCUCCGGCAGGACGGUCGCCUGCUCACGGCUGUCCCCGGGCUCCGGCAGAGGGUGGUCCCCGAACGAGCGCAGCGAUUGCUUCCCCCUCCCCCCCCCGCACUAACCCCGCG